UGGCUCGUCGUCUAAAGGAAAGGACGCAAGCUUGCGGAGCUUGUGAUGGUGGUUCGAGUCCACCCGAGCCAGCCA
rnacentral:tRNA from 1 species